AUUGAACGCUGGCGGCAUGCUUUACACAUGCAAGUCGAACGGUAACAGGCCUUCGGGUGCUGGCGAGUGGCGAACGGGUGAGUAAUGCAUCGGAACGUACCCAGAGGUGGGGGAUAACGCAGCGAAAGCUGUGCUAAUACCGCAUGUGAUCUGAGGAUGAAGGCGGGGGACCGAGCAGCAAUGUUUGGCCUCGCGCCUUUGGAGCGGCCGAUGUCGGAUUAGCUAGUUGGUGGGGUAAAGGCCUACCAAGGCGACGAUCCGUAGCUGGUCUGAGAGGACGACCAGCCACACUGGGACUGAGACACGGCCCAGACUCCUACGGGAGGCAGCAGUGGGGAAUUUUGGACAAUGGGCGCAAGCCUGAUCCAGCAAUGCCGCGUGCGGGAAGAAGGCCUUCGGGUUGUAAACCGCUUUUGGCAGGAACGAAACGGUGUCCGCUAAUACCGGGCGCUAAUGACGGUACCUGCAGAAUAAGCACCGGCUAACUACGUG
rnacentral:rRNA from 1 species